GGAAGGACUGGGGGAAGCUCACUCUUUUAGCCAAACAAUCUUCAGAGGAGAAAGACACAAGGAAAGAACAAAGGAGAUCCAAGUCCACUCAUGGAUUCAUGUGAACCCAGACGUCGGCUCCUCAUCCUGUAAACCUAAUUAUGGAUUAACGUGACCCCAAGAAGACGCUAAAGCAAGGUGUUGCUGGGUUACCAUUGUCAGAGCUUCUGUCACUCAGAUGAGAAAAAAAGCUUGGAGUCGGUCGCGUUGCUCGGAUGGAUCAGCCAUCAGAUGGUCUGAUUCUCACCAGCAUUAUUUUUAUUUAACAUCUGAACUCAGUUAUUUAUUGGAGCAUAAGACGAUGUUUCUGACUUCUGCUGCUGGUAAAUGAGGAUCAUUUUACACGUUGGUUUGAUGUGUGGAGCCACGAACAGAUGAAAGGAACAUGGAGCGUUUAUUGGUGUGAAGAAGUGUCUUUAUGCAGCUCAAAGAAGAAGAAUCUGCAGGAGAAUAAGUGGGUUUGUGUUCUGGAAGUGCAGGUGGAGGGCUAAAGACGACUGGAUGUUGGUGAUCUGAUGCUGAGUUUGAAAAGAUGCAGCUGAAGACAUUUUUACGCUUCGUUCAAACACAGGAGCUGAUUCACUUUAUUAAAGGAGAUUCACAGAUAAUCAGCAGGAAGUUACGUCUUAUUCUGGAUCCAGACGACAGAUUUAGGACUCAGAAUGUUUAAAAACCGCAGCUGUUAUUUACUCUUUUACUACCUGGUAAAUUAAACUAAAUUAAAUUAAAUUAAUCAAACUAAAUUAAAAUAAAUUAAAUCAAACUAAAUGGAAUUAAAUACAAAAACAUCCGCAAUUUUCUGGAUUUUUUCUUGUUUAUUUUACAUUUUUUUUGUAUUUCUAAAAUGCACAAACGCAAAAAUAAAAGUACAAAAACAGACAGAAUAAAAAUAAAUUUCUAUGUGUAAUGUGAUAUAAUAUCAAAAAGGUGUAACUUUAAAUGACCAUAAUGACAUUUUUUGACUGGAAUAACAUAAUUUUAAUAUAUAUAUUUUAAUUUUUUAAUUUUUAAUUUAUAUAUUAAUUUAUGAUAUCUAUAAGGAUUAGCAGUUUUUCAAACUAAUAUUUAUUCUUUAUAUUAUGGAUAUGUGAAAUUUAUCUCUCAUUUAACCACUAAUAGUUUUAUAUGUAUAGAAAAAAAGAAGAAUUUUACAGUGUUGUUAAAAAAAGAAAAGAAUACAAUAAAUUGUUAAAAUAAACAAAAAACUACAAAAGAAAACUGUUUUCUUUUUAAAAACACUUAUUGGCUAUUCAGUAAUGUAGGUUUUUAUUUUUAUUUUCAGUCACAAUUUAAAUUUAUUAUUUAUUUUUGUAAUUUUAUUGAUAUAUUUGUAUAUUUAAAACAUAACACAAAAAUGUACAACUGUAAUUAUUAUUUGCAUUUUUUAAAACAACUUUAUUGACCAAAUUUUCAAUGGAUUUAUGCAACUUAAACAUGAGAAUUAAAUAUUUUCAUAUUUGAAUUUGGUGCGUUUUCAGAUUUUAUUAUUGCUAAUGAAAAUCUGAUGUUUUGUUUUGUAAUAAUGGCAGUAUUCUUGGAGAUAUUUCUCAUAAAAUCUGUCAGUCAUCCAUCAAAUUGCUUUAAAUCUUCACUUCCAGUUUGUUUUUAGCAGUACUUUAGAUUUAUGUGUCUUUGUGUAUGAUCUUAUUUAGUAACUAAAACAAACAUUUCUAUUUGAUUAAACGACUCAGUUUUAAUUGUGGCACAUGCAGACUUCCGUACACCGUCUCAGACAGUUUGCAUUCAGACCGUUUUCAUCAUAAAUCAGUUUUUAUUGCAGCUUUUUCCAGUUUC